UGCACAGUGGCGCAGUGGUUAGCACUACUCACAGCAAGAAGGUUGUGGGUUCGAAUCCGGCCUCUGUGU